AUGGAUCGAAACCAUCCUCUGCU
rnacentral:piRNA from 1 species